rnacentral:siRNA from 1 species
AAAAAAAACCUCAACUUUGGCCAGAUC